UAGGGAAUCUUCCGCAAUGGACGAAAGUCUGACGGAGCAACGCCGCGUGAGUGAUGAAGGUUUUCGGAUCGUAAAGCUCUGUUGUUAGGGAAGAACAAGUACCGUUCGAAUAGGGCGGUACCUUGACGGUACCUAACCAGAAAGCCACGGCUAACUACGUGCCAGCAGCCGCGGUAAUACGUAGGUGGCAAGCGUUGUCCGGAAUUAUUGGGCGUAAAGGGCUCGCAGGCGGUUUCUUAAGUCUGAUGUGAAAGCCCCCGGCUCAACCGGGGAGGGUCAUUGGAAACUGGGGAACUUGAGUGCAGAAGAGGAGAGUGGAAUUCCACGUGUAGCGGUGAAAUGCGUAGAGAUGUGGAGGAACACCAGUGGCGAAGGCGACUCUCUGGUCUGUAACUGACGCUGAGGAGCGAAAGCGUGGGGAGCGAACA
rnacentral:rRNA from 2 species